CUCACUGCCUCGGUGCUAGUUGUCCGCCAGUCCAUCCAUACACUUCACCCAUGUUGUCUUCAUCCUUUCCCAUUCGUUCUUAUCCAGCCAGCUCGAUCAGAUACUUAACCGAAUCCCCUUGUUACUUAGGCACUCAGCCAACCAUCCCCACAUGACCAUGAACAAAGAGAGACGGCUUGGUUUCCAACCAGCCAUCCAGAAUAGACAGUACGCCAGCCUUGCUAGCGUUCCAGAACCAGUCAUUGAUCAUACCUAGACCAGUCAGUACAUAUUCGGCUCUACAGCCCUCGAUCCCUUCAGUACACCUCACGGCCAUCCUGCCCUGGCUAUGUCUCCAACCCGCCUUCCAGUACCGACAGUACGCCAGCCUUGCUAGCGUUCAAGAACCACAUUGAUCACACCUAGAUCAAUCAGUACAAACUCGGCUCUGCAGCCCACGAUCCAACCAGUACUAGCAUGCAUCCAGAUCCCUGUAAACACACCCGGCUUCACAGCCACCUUCCUGCCUCUCCAGCAUACGACCAGAUCAAAUCUUCUCAAGCUACAACCAACACUCAGUCCGUGAUGAAUAGAAGACGCCUCGCUACCAGCCGUUCCAUCAAGACACGGCCAUUACCAUCGUCGGAACAGAACUAAGACUCGAUCUGAAGUCUCAACCGUCAGAAUUGCAUUCCAGCACCAAACAUCCGAUAACCGCCUCAGGUAACUCUUGCCGUCUGAUCUGUAUCAUCAGUACGGACGCCUCCCAUCAGAAACCAUCAAAGCGUGUACAGAACCAGCCGAGCCAGCCUCCACAGAACUCGCCAUCCAUCAGGGAAGAUCCACAUCAUCAAGC
rnacentral:lncRNA from 1 species